AAACAAACAAACACAAAACACAAAAACAAAAUACAAAAAAAAAAAAGUGGAAUAAAGGGAAUAAUGACCUCAGGGCAAGAUCCCACCGGCUAAGCUUCCAACAAGUGCAAAGGGAUUAAAGACAAGCUCAGAGCCAGGUGUGGUGGUGCACGCACAUGCAUGCACGCACAGACAUAUACCUCUAAUUCCGAUGCACCAUCAUUAAGCGUUUACCGUGUUGUUUGGUGUUUUGAGACAAGGUCUCGCUGUGGCUCAGGUCAGUCUUGAAGUUGGAAUCCUCCUGCUUCAGCCUCCCAAUCUCCCUGAGAUUGCAGCUGGAUGCCACCGCGAUCAUCUCGUGGCCGCCUUUCAUCUCCUGUCUGUAUGUAGUCAUCUACUCUCCGAACUAUUUGAGGCACGCCAGCUAGCUCCCCUUGUUGGAAGAGGUCCCAGAGGACAACAGGCAGAAGUCACAGUGUUUGUGUGACCUAGCUUCAAAAGUUCCACAUCAUCAUUUCCACAGCAGCCCGGUGUUUACACUGGUUCAUAUGGACCAGCGUGGGAGGGAAUCGCUUGAAGGAUCAUCAGGGCCAUCCAUCCAGGGCUCCGGCUCCGGCACUCUCCCAAGAGCACUGAGUUUCCCGAGGACCAUCUGUGACCAGGAGUUUUGAGCCAGCCUGUCGGAGCCUGUUGGGAUCAGCAGUGGGUGCCCCACUGUAAACAAAGGUUCAGCAGUAAGGAGCAUGGGCCCAUGAGCCCUUCCUCUCCCCACGCCUGAUUGUGAGCACGGUGCAAGCAGGCCUAGUGCAAGUAACUGCAGCUGCUGAGAGUCCACGACUGCAGUGGGUGUGCCAGUUCAGGGCCUGCAUCCACUGCACCCUCUCCUCUGCAGUAUCCCACCGCUGCCAUGUUUCUUUUUGGGUUUUAUUUAUUUUAUGUGUAUGAGUGUUCACCUGUAUGUAUGUGCCUGUGUGUAUGUACAUGCACUGCCUGUGUGCCUGGUGCCCUCAGAGGUCAGAAGAGGGCAGUCGAGUCCCUGGAAAUAGUCAUGGAUGGUUGUGCCAUGGAGUGGGUGCCGGGAACCAAACCUUCGUCCUCCGAGGUCAAACCACUGAGCCAUCUCUCCAGCUCCGAGCCUCGUUUCUUACUCAAAAUAAUCUCUUGAAUAAAUGCAUAGGUUGGAACCGAUGGAUAUUUAAACACGAAAUCAUAGGUAAUAAGAACCACACUGUGUUGCUUCUGCUAGGGUUGCUUGCUUGGAGUCUUGAUUAUUUGGUGUAAGCAGAGCAAGGGUCAGAACGUGUAGGUUCUGGAUCCCAGACCUUCAAUGAAUUGAGUCUCUGCUUUGGCCGUCAUUCAUGGCUAAAUGAGGCUUCUCUAACUACUGAGAAGCACUAGAUGGCAUUAUACAGACCAGUGUACAGGUAAAGAUAAGUAUUUAAAUGUCGUGUAGCUACACAUUUAGCAAAACAUUGAUACAAAUUUUUAAAAUUUGUUUAUCAUAAAUGUGAAAAAUUGUCAAGCACUACUUCUGCAAAUAUUUAUAUUUUAUUAUGAUAGUGUGGCAUUGUAUCAUUCUGAUUGAUUUGCAUGUAGUGUUAUUGUUCUUAGUCUUUUUGGGGGCCCCCAGCCAGCUUCUAAAUAAAUCCACACAGAGUCUUAUGCUUAAUUAUAAAUGCCUGGCCUUAGCUUGGCUUUUUUAUUGCCAGCUUUCUUUAACUUAAAUUAUCCCAUCUGUCUUUUGCCUCUGGACUUUUCCCAUUCUCUUACUUCUGUAAAUCUUACUUUUACUCUGUAGCUCUGUAGCUGGUGGCUGGCUCCUGUGGGGGGGACCUGCGUCCACUUGUUUCCCCAGGGUACGCUUGAGCAGGGAGAAGUGGAAAAUAUUUAGAUAGAAAUAUAGAGGAGAGAGACAGAUAGAAACACAGGAUAGCCUCGGGAGGGCCUGGGUCAAAACCCACCAGCCCCUUCUGUCUCUU